UAAAAGUUUUUUUAGCUUAUUUUUAUUAUUACACUGAAAAUUAUAUGCUAAUUUUAGUGAAAAUUAUUAUUUUAAUUUAAAUAGUAAAGUAAUAUUCGAUAUAUUCGCAGUAAUUAAUUUUAUUUAUUUAAGUAAUUAAGAGUUAUUUAAAGUGUUUAAGUAUUAACAAAAUUUGUGCCAGCAGUUGCGGUUAAACAGGUAAUACAAUAAUAAAGAAUUGAUUAGUAAUUAAUAAUUUAUUAUUAAAGUUUAUUUUUAAUUUUAUUAGGUGAAAUUUUAAAUUUAUUUGUAUCUUUUUUUAAUAUUAUGAGGUUAAUAAAUUCAAUUUAUAAACUAGGAUUAGAUACCCUAUUAUUUUGAGUUUAAACUUAUUUAUCAGAUUAGUAUUAGUUAUAGUCUUGAAAAUUAAAGAAGUUGGCGGUAUUUUAGUCUUUUCAGAGGAACCUGUCCUAUAAUUGAUAUCCCACGAUUUAAUUUACUUAUUUUAAAUUUACAUAUCGCCGUAGUUUGAAUAUUUUCUGAAAAAUAAUAUUCUAGAUUUAUUUAAAUAAAGGAAUUCAGGUCAAGGUGUAGUUUAUAGAUAAGAAAGAGAUGGGUUACAAUAAAUUAAUUUAUAAUGGAUUAUUAAAUGAAAUUUUAAUAUAAAAGUGGAUUUGAAGGUAAUUUUAUUUAAUUAAAUAAGAUGAUUUUAGCUCUAAAAUAUGUACAUAUUGCCCGUCGCUUUCACUAUAAAGUGAAAUAAGUCGUAACAAAGUAGGUGUACUGGAAAGUGUACCUAGAAAGCA
rnacentral:ncRNA from 1 species